GAUGAAGAACGCAGCGAAAUGCGAUAAGUAAUGUGAAUUGCAGAAUUCAGUGAAUCAUCGAAUCUUUGAACGCACAUUGCGCCCGCUAGUAUUCUAGCGGGCAUGCCUGUUCGAGCGUCAUUUCAACCAUCAAGCCCCAGGCUUGUGUUGGAGCCUGCGGCCGUCCGCAGCCUCCUAAAAUCAGUGGCGGGCUCGCUAUCACACCGAGUGCAGUAGUUUACUCUUCGCUCAGGACGUGUAGCGGGUUCCGGCCGUGAAACCCCCCAAUUUUCAAGGUUGACCUCGGAUCAGGUAGGAAUACCCGCUGAACUUAAGCAUAUCAAUAAGCGGAGGA
rnacentral:misc_RNA from 1 species